ACGCUGGCGGCGUGCCUAAUACAUGCAAGUAGGACGCACAGUUUAUACCGUAGCUUGCUACACCAUAGACUGUGAGUUGCGAACGGGUGAGUAACGCGUAGGUAACCUGCCUAUUAGAGGGGGAUAACUAUUGGAAACGAUAGCUAAUACCGCAUAACAGUAUGUAACACAUGUUAGAUGCUUGAAAGAUGCAAUUGCAUCGCUAGUAGAUGGACCUGCGUUGUAUUAGCUAGUAGGUAGGGUAAUGGCCUACCUAGGCGACGAUACAUAGCCGACCUGAGAGGGUGAUCGGCCACACUGGGACUGAGACACGGCCCAGACUCCUACGGGAGGCAGCAGUAGGGAAUCUUCGGCAAUGGGGGGAACCCUGACCGAGCAACGCCGCGUGAGUGAAGAAGGUUUUCGGAUCGUAAAGCUCUGUUGUUAAGGAAGAACGAGUGUGAGAAUGGAAAGUUCAUACUGUGACGGUACUUAACCAGAAAGGGACGGCUAACUACGUGCCAGCAGCCGCGGUAAUACGUAGGUCCCGAGCGUUGUCCGGAUUUAUUGGGCGUAAAGCGAGCGCAGGCGGUUAGAAAAGUCUGAAGUGAAAGGCAGUGGCUCAACCAUUGUAGGCUUUGGAAACUGUUUAACUUGAGUGCAGAAGGGGAGAGUGGAAUUCCAUGUGUAGCGGUGAAAUGCGUAGAUAUAUGGAGGAACACCGGUGGCGAAAGCGGCUCUCUGGUCUGUAACUGACGCUGAGGCUCGAAAGCGUGGGGAGCGAACAGGAUUAGAUACCCUGGUAGUCCACGCCGUAAACGAUGAGUGCUAGGUGUUAGGUCCUUUCCGGGACUUAGUGCCGCAGCUAACGCAUUAAGCACUCCGCCUGGGGAGUACGACCGCAAGGUUGAAACUCAAAGGAAUUGACGGG
rnacentral:rRNA from 1 species